CCCAGACCCCCAAAUCUCCAAUUUCUCACAAGUGAAUUUAGGCAAACUAAAGAAGACAUCUCUGUUCUGUUCAAUACUUCUUCAAGAUCUUGGAUAAUUAGUGGUAUGGAAAGUAAAGAAGUCACAGGUUGGGACAUUUAGACAAGAGUGAAUCACACACAUGAGGAAUGUGUUCAUUCUUUUAUUGUCCAUUGUUUUAACCUGACUGAAUACAAGAUCAACAAGAGCACUGUACUCCUGGCAAUUAUUACAUAUGUUAGAACAUGGAUUUUGCACUGUAGACAACAUUUAACACCAGUCUAUGGGGUACUGCAUUGCUUUUUAUAAAGUUCAAAAUAAAGAUUUAUUUUCAAACAA
rnacentral:sRNA from 1 species